UAGAGAAUAUUGCACAAUGGAGGGAACUCUGAUGCAGCGACGCCGCGUGAACGAAGAAGGCUUUCGAGUCGUAAAGUUCUUUUAUAUGGGAAGAUAAUGACGGUACCAUAAGAAAAAGCCCCGGCUAACUACGUGCCAGCAGCCGCGGUAAUACGUAGGGGGCUAGCGUUGUCCGGAAUCACUGGGCGUAAAGGGUUCGCAGGCGGAAAUGCAAGUCAGGUGUAAAAGGCAGUAGCUUAACUACUGUAAGCAUUUGAAACUGCAUAUCUUGAGAAGAGUAGAGGUAAGUGGAAUUUUUAGUGUAGCGGUGAAAUGCGUAGAUAUUAAAAAGAAUACCGGUGGCGAAGGCGACUUACUGGGCUCAUUCUGACGCUGAGGAACGAAAGCGUGGGUAGCAAACAGG
rnacentral:rRNA from 1 species